rnacentral:rRNA from 1 species
GACGAACGCUGGCGGCGUGCUUAACACAUGCAAGUCGAACGAUGAAGCGGGUGCUUGCACUCGUGGAUUAGUGGCGAACGGGCGAGUAACACGUGAGUAACCUGUCCUUUUCUUUGGGAUAACGGCUGGAAACGGCUGCUAAUACUGGAUAUUCAGGCUGCAUCGCAUGGUGUGGUUUGGAAAGGUUUUUUCUGGGAUUGGGUGGGCUCGCGGCCUAUCAGCUUGUUGGUGGGGUGAUGGCUUACCAAGGCUUUGACGGGUAGCCGGCCUGAGAGGGUGGUCGGUCGCACUGGGACUGAGCUACGGCCCAGACUCCUACGGGAGGCAGCAGUGGGGAAUAUUGCACAAUGGACGAAAGUUUGAUGCAGCGACGCCGCGUGGAGGGUGUAGGCCUUCGGGUUGUGAACUCCUUUUUCUCGCGAAAAAGGCACAGUUUUGGCUGUGUUGAUGGUAGUGGGGGAAGAAGCGCCGGCUAACUACGUG